rnacentral:lncRNA from 12 species
GGAAGCCAAGAUAGAAGGUAUUUCAUCUGUUUUCAGAUGUUGUUUUCAAAAUGUUUUUUUUUUUUUCCUUGAUUUUUUUUUUAAUUUCAAUCUUCGGUUCAAAUCAAGUUGCUAUUUGAACAUUUGAACCCAUUCAGGUUUCAGUGUAUUAUGAUCCAUUUUUGGCUUGUCACUGUUGAAUCCCUCUUCUUUAGGGCGAUGUUGAAUCUCAUGGAAAAACAUGGACAUUUGGUGGAGGUGGACAAACUGCUGGCCAGAUCUUGGAUGUAUCUGAUGACUGUAGAUGAGUUGGUCAAGUGCAGCUCCAUCAUCCAUGCAGAACUCUUGGACAUCCUGCAGCUUUUCACCAUGAAAUGUCCCGAUGAUAUAUCCUACAGCACUUCUACCAGUGUAGCGGAUACUUUGGCAUACAUCCAAAGUAACUUGCUCGAACAACGAUACAGCUGUCCCAGUGAGGAUUAUGGCAUUCAAUGCAUACAAGCAACAUGUAAACUUCUAGAGAAGAUCUGCAAAAGAAUUCAUUACUACAGUCAUGCACACAAUUUCACUGAUAUUCCUGUUGCUUGCAUGAACCUAGUGGCCUCCAUAUCAGGAUUUGCCCAGGCCAGACAACAAGCUGACACUUUUCCUGAGAAGACUCUUGUAUUACUCAAUGAGGCCAAAAAAACUGUGAGGACAUGGAUCAGACAAACUUUCAAAGGCAGACUUUUGGAUAGUAGCUAUAUGUCGGCUGUCAGCUUCACAACAGAGAUUGAGAUGUGGAAUAAUGUUAUAGCCAUAGAUUUCAUGAGUAAGGACUUCACUAAAGAAUGGAGAGAGACAUUUACAUUGGACUUUGAGGGGAAAUACCAGCAGGUAUUUCUUACACACUUCCAGUAUGCAUGUCUAAUAGGGUUGGAAGCUGAACCAAUGCAAUAUUUAUUUAUUUAUUUGUACUUUUAUUUAAAAAAUACUAAUAAUUCAAAUUCAUGACUUUGAGUUCUUUUGAUGUUAUUGAAUAUCUGGAUUUUUUUAUUCUGCAUAAAAAACACUGAAUGGAAAUGGCAAGAUGCGCAUAAAGCCCUCUGGUUACUGACAUAACUGGAACGAGAACUCUGUUUUCUCCAAAAUACUGAAGCCUGAGUUGAUAACAUUCGUGUAAUUGCAUGAACAAAUGGCAUUUCAGCCUGCCAAAGUGGGUGGAGCUGUUAUCAGUUAACCAAUGUUACUUUAGUAAACAAAGCAUUUCCUUUCGAUAUGGUUCACUCACAUUGUUUUUGCCAAUCUGUGGGGAAGAAAAUCUGUCCCUGAAGAGCAGGGAUGUCCAGGCUAUAAAACCUAGCAAAGGUAGAUGGCGAAGAUCUGUUAUCUGCAAGCAUCCGCUGAUUCAUUAGCACUGACCUAUAUAGCCAAUUUCUAUUCCAAUUUUUCACGCAAGUCAAAUUCACAAUUUUAGAUGGAAACAAAGCUACGAACUCACAGUACACUUCAAACCCACUUACACACUUAAGACGUAAUGCCUUAAGCAGAAGAGAUUUGCAUCUGGCUAAACUUCAAUAAAUGUGACUAGACAUUUAACCUGGACUACUGACAACUUUGACAUUUCGAAGUGUUUCUUUGUACUGUAUAUUUGUAAAUAUGGGACUCUCUUUGUUUUUUUACCCUCUUUAGGAAGAUCAUCUCGAUCAAAUUGAGGUUUAUUGCUCAAAGAUUGAGAAACUUAAUGGCUCCCAGCCUUAUUUGGUGGAUAGUGUAGAGAAGUGUGCUCUCCAGGCUGUUACCACAAUAUGCCAGGUAAAGGUCUUUCACUUCUCACUGACAUCAUGAGUCAUGCAGCUUUAUAUAAAUAUUCAUUAGAACAUUUAAUAAAAUGGUAUUUGGACCGAAGUCUAGUCCAAUUUGAGGAUUAUUUAGCUAUUUGUACCUACAAAAUUUAGUGAAUGCAUGCUGGUUUGAAAUAUUGAAAGAAAUAGUAAAAUAUAGUAGAAAAAUUAAAAUGAUAUAAUUUACUCACCCUCAUGUCAUUCUAAACUCACUUCUGGGGUGUGCAACAGGAGAAAUUUUGGAUAAUAUUUGUACUAUUUGUAUGUGAGUGUGUGUGUGUGUGUGUGUGCGCGCUUGUACAACUAUCUUUGUGAGAACCAGUUUGAGUUUAACCAUCAGAGUGAGGACCAAGAGUCUAAAGUGAGGACAUUUUGGCCAGUAAUCACUUUUUGGCCCCCAUUUAAAGGGCUGUUUGAGGGUUAAGACUUGGUUUUAGGGUCAAGUUCAGGGUUGAUGUAAAGGGAGAAGGUUGGGACAAUUCCAAGGGGCCUAAUCAGAGAUAUGUGCGUGUGUGUGUUGAGGUUUAAAAUGUUUUGAUGACAGAAUUUUUUGGAGUGAACUAAUCCUUAAAGUAAUUGCACAGGGACAGAAAUUGAGUUUACCAUUCAUUGGGUGAUGAGCAGUGUUUCAGCAAUGCAUUAAUCAAUGGUCUUCAUGGUUUUUGCAGUAUUUUGUCCAUGUUAAAUGGCUGAAAACAGUUGUUAUAGUGUUUUGUGUGUGUGUGGGAUUGAAUAUGGGAAGACACUUAC